AGUUGACUCUCUAUCCCACCGAGAGCAUAACUAACAAGUCACAGAUUAUGAACUUAAUAUUCCCUCUAAACAUAAUCUCCUCCUCCUCCCUUUCUUAUUUUCUUCUUUGUUCUAAAAGAAUGGAUAAUCAUAUCAAUAGUCUUAUGCCCAUAAAUUUUAGAUACAUAUUUUUCUUCUUGUUAUUAAUAAUAAGCACUUUUUGCUCACAACUAUCCUACUCUCAAUCCCAACCUCAAUCAAUUUAUGAUUACUCCAUUUGUAGAGAUCUAAACCAUUCCUACAACUGUGGCAACCUAUCCUACAUAUCUUACCCAUUCUGGGGGCAGAAUCGUCCUAUUCAAUGUGGCGCAGGCAAACCAUUUCAGCUUCACUGCCACAACAACCAAGAUACCACUAUUCAAUUAUCCUACCAAAAUUUCACAGUCAUUGAAAUUAACACAAAUCAUCACAUCAUCAAACUCAAAAGAACAGACCUUUCCCAAAAUCUAUGCUCUCCUCAAUUUGAUCAUAUUUAUUUGACUCCAACUUUGUUUCAAUAUGCUGAUACUUAUUUGUCUCCAACUCUGGUUCAAUAUCUCCCACAAGUCAAAAACAUCACCAUAUACUAUAACUGUGACCCAUCUCCAUAUUUUCCUAAAGUUUCUCUAUGUGGAGCUCAGAAUUAUGCUUUUUGUCCUGUUGGUGAUUAUGCAAAUAAGUUUCUUGAAGUAUCAAGAAAUUGCAGACAAUAUAUACAAGUGCCUGUAGGAGGAGAUUUUCCUAUUGAGAAUGGUUCUUAUUACUAUUUAAGUCGUGAAGUUCUUGAAAAAGGUUUGGAUAAGGGGUUUGAGGUUAAAUAUAGUGUGAAUGAGGAGUGUUUACAGUGUUUGGGAUAUCAAGAAGGAGGUUGUGUGAGUGAUGAUUUUGAUAAACAUGCAACAUCCACUUGCUAUUAUCAUGAUUGUCCUGAUGGAUCUAUUGCUUUUUCCUCACAAUGUUCUUCUGAUCAGAAAAGUAAGCAGGUGAGCUGGCAUGGAAAAAUGAAAACCAUUCUAGGUAUUGGAAGUGCAAUAAUGGUAGCAUUGCUGAUGUGCGUCAUAUUUUGUUGUAUUAGAGGUAAGCGAUCAAUACAACAAGUAAAUUUCUGGUAUAAAACAAAAAAUGAUAAAAAUAUCGAAGCAUUUUUCAAAGAAAAUGGAGCUCUAACGCAAAAGAAAUAUAAAUUUUCUGAAAUAAAGAAAAUGACAAAUUCAUUCGAAAUUAAACUUGGUCAAGGGGGUUUUGGGGUUGUGUAUAAAGGAAAAUUAUUCAAUGGUUGUCUUGUGGCGGUGAAGAUAUUGAAUGCAUCAAAAAGAAAUGGUGAAGAUUUUAUUAAUGAGAUUGCAAGUAUUACUAGAACCUCACAUGUUAAUAUUGUCACUCUUCUUGGAUUUUGUUUUGAAGGUCGUAAAAAAGCACUUGUAUAUGAAUUUAUGUCUAAUGGUUCUCUAGACAAAUUUAUUUAUAAUAAGGGGCCUGAAACCAUUAUAUCUGUAAGUUGGGAUAAUUUGUAUCAAAUUGCGAAAGGAAUAGCUCGUGGGCUAGAGUAUUUGCAUAGAGGAUGCACCACUCGAAUUUUACAUUUUGACAUUAAACCACAUAAUAUUCUUUUGGAUGAGAACUUUAGUCCAAAGAUUUCUGAUUUUGGACUUGCAAAGCUCUGCCCUAAAAAAGAGAGCAUUAUUUCGAUGUCGGAUCAAAGAGGGACAAUGGGAUAUGUAGCUCCAGAAGUGUGGAAUAGACAUUUUGGAGGAGUUUCACAUAAGUCUGAUGUUUAUAGUUAUGGAAUGAUGUUGUUAGAAAUGGUGGGUGGGAGGAAAAACAUUAAUGCUGAUGCAAGUCACACAAGUGAGAUAUAUUUUCCUCAUUGGGUAUACAAUAAACUUGAGUUUGGUAGUGAUUUGAGACCUGAUAUAGUAAUGGAUACAGAAGAAGAUGAGAUUGCAAGGAAAAUGACCAUUGUGGGUUUAUGGUGUAUUCAAAUAUUUCCUAAUGAUAGGCCUACUAUGAGUAAAGUGGUUGAAAUGUUAGAAGUUAGCACAAGUUCUUUAGAAAUACCACCAAUGCCAUUACUUUCCUCUCCUAUUAGACCAGUAUCAGAGUCUUGAAUGUUUCUAAUUUAAGGGCAUGUAUAAUUAUAUUUUACUUUUUAAUUGGAGUAGUGAUCAUCUCAACCUUGUUAAUCAUCUUGUAAAGUAAAGUGGAUCUCAAUGUCUCAAAUUAUUUUUAUAUUGAAUGCAUAAUAUUCAUGAGCAAUUGAUCAUGUAAACUCUAUUAUCAUUUUAUAAUUAUUUCUUUUAGAAGUUGGUGAUAAUCACCUGCUAGUAAGUGGUGAUCGAGGCCUAUCCUUAACACUUAUUAUGAAGAAAAAAAAUAGUGGUGAUUUUGUUGCUAUGGCUUGUUACUGGUGAAAUAAUUUGCGGCAGUCAGGAGAUUUGUGGAGGAAUAGCUGUAUGUUCUUUAGGUGUUUCCAUAUAUUUUAGAGCUGGUGUGUUUUGUAUUU